AAGGAAUAUUGGACAAUGGAGGGAACUCUGAUCCAGCCAUGCCGCGUGAAGGAUGAAGGCGCUCAGCGUUGUAAACUUCUUUUGGAUGGGAACAAUAACUUCUACGUGUAGGAGCUUGAGGGUACCAUCAGAAUAAGCACCGGCUAACUCCGUGCCAGCAGCCGCGGUAAUACGGAGGGUGCAAGCGUUAUCCGGAAUCACUGGGUUUAAAGGGUGCGUAGGCGGUGGCGUAAGUCAGUUGUGAAAUUCCCCGGCUUAACCGGCGGGACUGCGAUUGAUACUGCGUCACUUGAAUCAGGAUGAGGUAGGCGGAAUGUGACAUGUAGCGGUGAAAUGCUUAGAUAUGUCAUAGAACACCGAUUGCGAAGGCAGCUUGCUGGACCUGUAUUGACGCUGAGGCACGAAAGCGUGGGGAGCAAAC
rnacentral:rRNA from 1 species